CCGGCACGGGUGAGUAACACGUAUCCAACCUGCCGUCUACUCUUGGGCAGCCUUCUGAAAGGAAGAUUAAUACAAGAUGGCAUCAUGAGUCCGCAUGUUCACAUGAUUAAAGGUAUUCCGGUAGACGAUGGGGAUGCGUUCCAUUAGAUAGUAGGCGGGGUAACGGCCCACCUAGUCUUCGAUGGAUAGGGGUCCUGAGAGGAAGGUCCCCCACAUUGGAACUGAGACACGGUCCAA
rnacentral:rRNA from 1 species